CUGUGACCGACAGAGCAGGUCAGAGGGAGGGGCUUCUGAUGAAGUAACCAACGCAUGAAUCCACGCACACCCCUCUCUGCCUGCAGAGCAGCGCGUAGGUGGAGAUGAACUCACACACGUCCGAGGCCAUGCACGCCUGCUCCUCGCAUUUGGCGAGGAAGAGGGAGACGGGCACAUGGGCGUGGCACGGCUCAAAGACGUCAGAGCGCAGGGCCUGGCAGCCCAGCGUGGCCCCGGACUCGCACACCGCGCUGGCCAUGGGCACACACAGGCCGGAGGCCUGCGGGACGGUCCAGUUGGAGAUGAAGGCCCGCGGCUCGGAGAUCCUCUCUGGGUAUUGGUGGUCCAGCGUCAGCAGCAUCAGCAGUUGAUCCAUGCUGUUCAGGUGCAGCGUGUUGUCUUGGUAUCCAUGGUCACCAGCGAGCGCACUGAGCUCCGCCCGGUCGUAGUCGGGGCCCACCCCGAUGGGGAACACGGAGACGCCUGGACACAAGAGCAUUACCACCGCCUUGGGCACCCCUGCUCUCCCACCACUGAGGGCUGUUUGGAUGGCAAACUGCAGCGCAGAGCCUGGACAGAGCAACAGAAAGAAGAUGUCAGAAGAUGUUCCCCGCCUGGCUGUGGAACAAUGACCAGACCUGAUGGGCUGCAUGUUUGGU
ensembl:lncRNA